CCUCAACUUUUCAUCCUCUGAAGCAGCCCUCCCUGGGCAUUUUCAUAAUGAGGGACCGGUCCCAGGUCAGGGAGACCGGUCCCCGAGAGCCUCCCUCUCGGGCAGAGGAAAUUUCGCGUUCGGGAACCGGUCCCUGCUCGAGAGACCGGUCCCCGGGAGACCGGUCCUUGCCUGAGAGACCGGUUCCCGAGAGUGGUAUUUUCGGGACUUAGCCAAAUUUCUACCUCUUCUCGCUGGGUUAACGUUCGGGGACCGGUCCCUCCUUGCCAGAGACCGGUUGCAUCAAGGAUCCC
rnacentral:lncRNA from 1 species